GCAGACACAUUCCAGCCAAUCAGCAGCAGACCCUCCCUCCCAGACCCUCCCACCUCCUGGACAGCAUCCAUUGUGAAGCUGCAUUCUUAGUGAGCUGUCCAGGAGGUUGGAGGGUCUGGGAGGGAGGGUCUGCUGCUGAUUGGCUGGAAUGUGUCUG